UCCCCGGUGGUUCAGAGGUCAGGAAUCUGCGCUUCCACUGCAGGAGUCACGGGUUCAAUCCCUGGUCGGGGAC
rnacentral:tRNA from 1 species